AGUGGGGAAUAUUGCACAAUGGAGGAAACUCUGAUGCAGCAACGCCGCGUGGAGGAUGACACAUUUCGGUGCGUAAACUCCUUUUAUAUGGGAAGAUAAUGACGGUACCAUAUGAAUAAGCACCGGCUAACUCCGUGCCAGCAGCCGCGGUAAUACGGAGGGUGCAAGCGUUACUCGGAAUCACUGGGCGUAAAGCGCGCGCAGGCGGCUAUUUAAGUUGGAUGUGAAAGCCUACGGCUCAACCGUAGAACUGCAUCCAAAACUAUUUAGCUAGAGUGUGGGAGAGGAAGAUGGAAUUAGUUGUGUAGGGGUAAAAUCCGUAGAGAUAACUAGGAAUACCAAAAGCGAAGGCAAUCUUCUGGAACACUACUGACGCUGAGGCGCGAAAGCGUGGGGAGCAAACAGGAUUAGAUACCCUGGUAGUCCACGCAGUAAACGAUGAAUGUUAGUCGUCGGGGGCCUAGUGUCUUCGGUGAUGCAGCUAACGCAUUAAACAUUCCGCCUGGGGAGUACGGUCGCAAGAUUAAAACUCAAAGGAAUAGACGGGGACCCGCACAAGUGGUGGAGCAUGUGGUUUAAUUCGAAGAUACGCGAAGAACCUUACCUAGCCUUGACAUAUUUUAGAACUCCGUAGAGAUACAGAGGUGCCUUCGGGAGCUAAUUUACAGGUGCUGCACGGCUGUCGUCAGCUCGUGUCGUGAGAUGUUGGGUUAAGUCCCGCAACGAGCGCAACCCUCGUCACUAGUUACUAACGGUUCGGCCGAGGACUCUAGUGAGACUGCCUUCGUAAGGAGGAGGAAGGUGAGGACGACGUCAAGUCAUCAUGGCCCUUACGGCUAGGGCAACACACGUGCUACAAUGGCCAGGACAGUGAGACGCGAUACCGUGAGGUGGAGCAAAUCUAUAAACCUGGUCUCAGUUCGGAUUGUAGUCUGCAACUCGACUACAUGAAGCUGGAAUCACUAGUAAUCGUAGAUCAGCUAUGCUAUGGUGAAUACGUUCCCGGGUCUUGUACUCACCGCCCGUCACACCAUGGGAGUUGAUUUCACCCGAAGCGGGGAAGCUAAACUGGCUACCCUCCACGGUGGAAUUAGCGACUGGGGUG
rnacentral:rRNA from 1 species